rnacentral:snRNA from 1 species
UGUCCUCCAUCGGAGGUCUAUAUUGAGCAGAUUCUUUUUGGUGUUGGGUGGUGGAACUGGAGCUUGCUCCAUCCACUCCAUGCAUCGGCCUGGUAUAACAUGCUUCCAGGACCGGUGC